GAUGAAGAACGCAGCGAAAUGCGAUAAGUAAUGUGAAUUGCAGAAUUCAGUGAAUCAUCGAAUCUUUGAACGCACAUUGCGCCCGCCAGUAUUCUGGCGGGCAUGCCUGUUCGAGCGUCAUUUCAACCAUCAAGCCCCCGGCUUGUGUUGGGGACCUGCGGCUGCCGCAGGCCCUGAAAACCAGUGGCGGGCUCGCUGUCACACCGAGCGUAGUAGAUUUUCAUCUCGUUCAGGGCGUGCUGCGGGUUCCGGCCGUAAAAAGCCUUAUUUACCCAAGGUUGACCUCGGAUCAGGUAGGAAGACCCGCUGAACUUAAGCAUAUCAAUAAGCGGAGGA
rnacentral:misc_RNA from 1 species